CGCCUCUUGACCACUAUAAGAGGUCUAGCCUGCCCAGUGACCAAUUUAACGGCCGCGGUACCCUAACCGUGCGAAGGUAGCAUAAUCACUUGUUUCCUAAAUAGAGACUAGCAUCAACGGCAUCACGAAGACUAUACUGUCUUCCCCCUAAAAUCAAUGAAACUAAUCCCCUCGUGAAGAAGCGAGGAUAAAAAUAUAAGACGAGAAGACCCCAUGGAGCUUUAAACGAACUUUAAUUGCUCUUAAUCUUACCAUAAAAAACGAGCACUAAUAAAAGAUAGUUUUCGGUUGGGGUGACCACGGAGUAAAACAAAACCUCCACAGUGAAUGUAAUUAUACUAAUACAAGAACUACAAUUCUAAUAAUCAAAAAAUUGACACACUUGACCCAAACACUUGAUCAAUGAACCAAGUUACCCUGGGGAUAACAGCGCAAUCCAUUUUAAGAGCCCCUAUCGACAAAUGGGUUUACGACCUCGAUGUUGGAUCAGGGUAUCCUAGUGGUGCAGCCGCUACUAAUGGUUCGUUUGUUCAACGAUUAAAAC
rnacentral:rRNA from 1 species